GACGGAGGAUGCAAGUGUUAUCCGGAAUCACUGGGCGUAAAGCGUCUGUAGGUCGUUUAAAAAGUCUACUGUUAAAAAUUGAAGCUUAACUUCAAAGAUGCCGUAGAAACUUUUAAACUUGAGUAUGGUAGGGGUAGAGGGAAUUUCCAGUGGAGCGGUGAAAUGCGUAGAUAUUGGAAAGACCACCAAUGGCGAAGGCACUCUACUGGGCCAUUACUGACACUGAGAGACGAAAGCUAGGGGAGCAGAUGGG
rnacentral:rRNA from 1 species